AGCGCUGCUCUGCGCCCCGCGUUCUCUGCGCACCUCGGCCCAGGUUUUGCGGAAACGGCGGCUUCGGGGGACGCGCUCCGUCCGCGGCCGGGCCUAGGGCCGAGUCCGCCUUGGUCCUCAGCGCUGAGGCGUCCGUUCCGGGCUCGGCGGCCUGGCGCUUCCCCAGCAGCUCCCAAGGGCCAGAGCCAACCCGGACUGGAUUGAGGACUACAACGUAGUUUCCCCGGGACCUCUGCAUGUGCAGAUAACCAAUUGGAGCGGAGCCUGCCCGACGUUCUGGAAGACUGACAACAUCAACACAUCACCAGGACACAGUCUUAAAGAUGAGUAACACCCUUCCCCCCACAUUCCACUUCCAGCUAUUUCAAAACCUGUCAGAAGAGGUGGAAGAAAAAAUACAGGCCAUAGACCAGCUUGCCACUCACAUAACAAUUGGGGACACAACCUCAUGGAUUUUGCCUGUGUUGGGAUUCUUUAUGGUCAUUUUGGGUUUACUUUUAAUUUUACCCCGCAUUUAUAGAAGGCUGCAGAACAUCUUCACAGAAAGAGCAAGAGCCUUCGUCAACCAGACUCUGAAUCAGAGGCUCCUGGCUCCAGAUAGUCAGAGGCUUCUGGCUCCUGAGACAAUGCCACAUUGCCCCUCAUCCAGAGGAUACUUCCAUGUAACCCCACCCAAUAUCCAUCAGGAAGUUAGCAACAGGCCUUCGCCCAGAUACCAUAACGAGCCAUCCUCACCAAAAAUUAAAAGGGGAGUGCUAGUCUGAUCUGCAUCUUAGGAGCUACUCCAUUUUAGUUGUGUGGUAAAGCACGGCCUUUCCCCAAACACAGCUUACUUCAAAAGAAGCAGCUGCAAUUGCUAACAGACACCCCCUCCCUCUCCAUUAAAGCAGUUCCUGUUUGUACAACUACAACCAUAAAUGGUAGCCUGGUCACAGUGGAAUUCCGCUCUCACAUCCUACACCUAACCCCCAUAAAAACCGCCUGCUUGGCUGCUACCCAUCGGGUGAGGUAGCCAAUCAGGUUACUGGCAAUAAAUUCCUUUUCCUUUGUGUGUGA